UAGCUUUGUGUUUGAGGGGGGGGGGGGUGACAUUAACCCAGUUGCAUAAGUAUGCACACAUUUAACUACUACUUUUCUGAAUAUUCUUCUGAUUUAGCUUCAGUGUUUAGUCUUUAGCUUUUACCUGCCAUGAGUUAUAGUUAAUACCAACAACCUGAUAUAAAGUUCUGCUGGCAAAUAUUUGAUUGAACAAAGGCAUCAGUCAGGAGAAGGAUGUAAAAGUUCUCCAGAAAAGGGACAAUGGUCAACAAUUGAAGAAAGUAGCAAUAAAACAAAAGCUGAUUGUUUCUGCAAAACUAAUGAAAAGAGAAGAUACAGUAACCAGUCAAGGAGCCGAUAAAUAGGAAAAUAACAGCUUUGGAAUGGUCUAAUAAAACUGUAGAUUCCUUUAAUAAGAGCUGUGGGCAGGAAACCUCACAUCAUGAUAGAUAACUACCACUGUUUGUGUUUCUUAUCACAUAAAAUCUCCCCAAAUAAU